CACGCCGUAAACGAUGGGUACUAGGUGUGGGAGGUAUCGACUCCUUCCGUGCCGCCGUUAACACAAUAAGUACCCCGCCUGGGGAGUACGGUCGCAAGAUUAAAACUCAAAGGAAUUGACGGGGGCCCGCACAAGCAGCGGAGCAUGUGGUUUAAUUCGAAGCAACGCGAAGAACCUUACCUAGACUUGACAUCUCCUGAAUUACCCUUAAUCGGGGAAGCCCUUCGGGGCAGGAAGACAGGUGG
rnacentral:rRNA from 1 species